UCUCCUACCUCAGGGUCAGGUGUAACCCGCGUCUCUCUCCUACCUCAGGGUCAGGUGUAACCCGCGUCUCUCUCCUACCUCAGGGUCAGGUGUAACCCGCGUCUCUCUCCUACCUCAGGGUCAGGUGUAACCCGCGUCUCUCUCCUACCUCAGGGUCAGGUGUAACCCGCGUCUCUCUCCUACCUCAGGGUCAGGUGUAACCCGCGUCUCUCUCCUACCUCAGGGUCAGGUGUAACCCGCGUCUCUCUCCUACCUCAGGGUCAGGUGUAACCCGCAGA